rnacentral:rRNA from 1 species
AUUGAACGCUGGCGGCAUGCUUUACACAUGCAAGUCGAACGGUAACAGGCCGCAAGGUGCUGACGAGUGGCGAACGGGUGAGUAAUGCAUCGGAACGUGCCCAGUCGUGGGGGAUAACGCAGCGAAAGCUGCGCUAAUACCGCAUACGAUCUAUGGAUGAAAGCGGGGGACCGUAAGGCCUCGCGCGAUUGGAGCGGCCGAUGUCAGAUUAGGUAGUUGGGGGGGUAAAGGCUCACCAAGCCAACGAUCUGUAGCUGGUCUGAGAGGACGACCGGCCAACGUGGGACUGAGAAACGGCCCAGGCUCCUACGGGAGGCGGCAGUGGGGAAUUUUGGACAAUGGGCGCAAGCCUGAUCCAGCAAUGCCGCGUGAAGAAAGGAGGCCUUCGGGUUGUAAACUGCUUUUGUACGGAACGAAACGGUCCUGGUUAAUACCUGGGGCUAAUGACGGUACCGUAAGAAUAAGCACCGGCUAACUACGUGCCAGCAGCCGCCGUAACAC